rnacentral:rRNA from 2 species
GAUUUCUGGUACAAUGCACCUGGCCCGCGCCCCUCAAGGGUUGUGAGUGCCGGCGCGCGUUUACCAUCCUUCUAGAAAACAAGUCUGCCAUUCACUUGGUUGGAUUUGCGAUCUAGAUCCUUUACUUUGAAAAAAUUAGAGUGUUUAAAGCAGGCUUUUGCUAUGAAUACAUUAGCAUGGAAUAAUAAUCUAGGACUUCGGUUCUAUUUUGUUGGUUUCUAUAACUGAAGUAAUGAUUGAUAGGGAUAGUUGGGGGUGCUAGUAUUGGCCGGCCAGAGGUGAAAUUCUUGGAUUCGGUCAAGACUAACUUAUGCGAAAGCAUU